CUGCCUGAGAGUUUAGCCACCCCAUCGGUGCCCUUUUCGACUCUGGGCAUUCUUCGCACCAAUCUUUGCCAUUUCCGCCGACUCCCCACCGCCUUCAGUCUCUCGAGCCCUUUCGAGGAGUUCUCCCAUCGGGGCUUCUGCCUCGGAGCCCAAUCUCGAGAGGAUGUUGCGGAUCGAGAGGAGUGGGAGGGGAAAAACAGUG
rnacentral:lncRNA from 1 species